rnacentral:tRNA from 1 species
GGGCCGCUAGCUCAGUUGGCAGAGCACCGGACUUUUAAUCCGGGUGUGCCGGGUUCGAGCCCCGGGCGGCUCACCA